UACGAAGGGGGCUAGCGUUGCUCGGAAUGACUGGGCGUAAAGGGCGCGUAGGCGGAUGGCACAGUCAGAUGUGAAAUUCCCGGGCUUAACCUGGGGGCUGCAUUUGAUACGUGUUGUCUUGAGUUCGGAAGAGGGUCGUGGAAUUCCCAGUGUAGAGGUGAAAUUCGUAGAUAUUCGGAAGAACACCAGUGGCGAAGGCGACUUACUGGACACAUAUUGACGCUGAGGUGCGAAAGCGUGGGGAGCAAACAGG
rnacentral:rRNA from 1 species